rnacentral:sRNA from 1 species
CAUAACAAAAGGAACAAGGUGGUGCUCCAAUGGCCUACCUCCUGCCUUUCUUCACUUCUUACAGAUCCUGCCACCUUUUCAACCUCUCCACACUGGCACUAACUGACACCAGGAGGUGUUGCUGACCUUCUAGGAAUGAGGCGCCAAGCUAGCCUUCAGGUUUAUAGAUCACUUCCUAGAGAGUGGUGAGGUGCUAUAUCCCAUGACAUCAGGCACACUGUUCCCCUUGCCUUGGGCAGAACCUUCCUUCCAGAGACGUCUACAUAGAAGUGAUCACAGUGUUUGGAAAAGAAAGCAAAGAGAACCGAAGAAAAUGUACUCAAAAGGAAAUGGGGCAGAAUCUCUUAAAAGUGUGUGUUUGAUAGACUGUGCUCGACUGUACCUCGGAGCAGAAGAAGCAAGCAGCCCAAAGCCGCCUCCUGGAGGGAAGGAGAAGCGCUAGAGAUUAAACUCACACCAGGCAGCCUCCUCUACCACUGAGCUGCACCGCAGGCUGAGGCUGCCAACUUUGAGGAGCUUAGCUGUUCUUGCCCUCAGCCGGGUCCACCUGUGCUUACUGACUUCAGCUAGCAUUGCGGCCAUGUCAUUUAGCAUAGUAAGGUGAUAUCAGGCUCUUAGGCAGCCAAGGUGGGCUUCAAGUUCUUGUGUAGCUGAGGAUGACGUCGAACUUCAGAUCCUUCUGAGUGCCCAGGAUUACAGAUGUGUGACACCACACCCAGUUUAUGUGGUACUGAGGUCUGAACUGGAGCUUUCUGCAU